CUCACUGCAGCAGGAAGACCUGCACACAACUGGCUGGAGACUGGCUGGACACAGCCCACAACACAUCAGUGUGGCUAUUGAUUCACCCAUGCUACAGAUCACAGAGAUUGUAUGUAUUCUCUUCUUUGGUCUUCACAUGUUGCUGAGAAGCUGUGAGAGAUUGGAGUAGCCCAUUGAACAAGUGCCCCAGUGCUCAGCCAGACCAGCCUUAACCUCCUAAUCCCAUCAGCCCUGAUCAUCAUAUCUUCAUAGUUAGGUCAGGACUCCACUAUACCAGCAGACUGGCAGAUUUCCAACAGAAAGAUACUCCCCACCUUGGAGAACUUGUGAUCUGAAAGUCAGGCAAGAAGCUCUGAACAGAGACACAGGGAAAUUCUGUUUGAAAAAAAACUAUUUUGCCCUUUCAUAUGGAUUCUCACACUCUUUGCAUGCAUCUUGCCUGUGGAAGGUAAGUAUUUCAUUUUUUUUCUUUCUUAGUUAGCUUGGGUGCUUUAUUUUUUGUUAGAUUUUCUUUGCCAUAGGCCCUGAAAACAAUAAUAACAGAAUACUGUGGCAGUUGCUUCCGUGUGGCUUGCCAAAGGGGUGCUAAGAAAUUUUUCUGGUUGUUCUGUAUGUGUGAGCUGCAAAGAG
rnacentral:lncRNA from 1 species